rnacentral:rRNA from 1 species
AGCGAUAGGCUUAACACAUGCAAGUCGAGGGGCAUCACGAGGUAGCAAUACUUUGGUGGCGACCGGCGUACGGGUGCGUAACACGUAUGCAACCUUCCUGUAAGUGUGGGAUAGCCUCCUGAAAGGGAGAUUAAUACCUCAUGAUAUGUAUUUGCUGCAUGGCAUUUACAUUAAACAUUUAUGGCUUACAGAUGGGCAUGCGUUCCAUUAGGCAGUUGGUGUGGUAACGGCUCACCAAACCUACGAUGGAUAGGGGUUCUGAGAGGAAGGUCCCCCACACUGGAACUGAGACACGGUCCAGACUCCUACGGGAGGCAGCAGUGAGGAAUAUUGGUCAAUGGGCGCGAGCCUGAACCAGCCACGUCGCGUGAAGGAUGACGGCCUUAUGGGUUGUAAACUUCUUUUACAGGGGAAUAAAGUGAGUCACGUGUGAUUUUUUGCAUGUACCCUGUGAAUAAGCAUCGGCUAACUCCGUGCCAGCAGCCGCGGUAAUACGGAGGAUGCGAGCGUUAUCCGGAUUUAUUGGGUUUAAAGGGUGCGUAGGCGGGAUAUUAAGUCAGCGGUGA